rnacentral:rRNA from 1 species
UACGUAGGGCCGAGCGUUGUCCGGAAUUACUGGGCGUAAAGAGCUCGUAGGUGGUUUGUCGCGUUGUCCGUGAAAACUCACAGCUCAACUGUGGGCGUGCGGGCGAUACGGGCAGACUAGAGUACUGCAGGGGAGACUGGAAUUCCUGGUGUAGCGGUGGAAUGCGCAGAUAUCAGGAAGAACACCGGUGGCGAAGGCGGCUCUCUGGGCCUUACCUGACGCUGAGGAGCGAAAGCGUGGGUAGCGAACAGG